AAUGGAUGGGCCCAGUGUGAACUGGAAACUCUUCGACAUUUUCCAGAAAGAUCAAUCUGAGCAGUACGGAGGUGUUCAGCUCAUUUGUGUGGGGAGCUGUGGCUUACACACGCUACACAACGCAUUCAAGUGUGGGUUCAGUGCAUGGCAGCUGGACAAGUUGCUGAGAGCAAUGCACACAUUGUUUCACAAUGUGCCUGCCAGGAGAGAGGAUUACAUCACCAUAACCAAGUCCAGUGUGUUCCCCCUGUCUUUCUGUGCCCAUCGUUGGGUAGAAAACCUUCCGGUUGUGGAGAGAGCCUUGGCUGUCUGGCCAUCACUUCUCCUGUACAUGGAAGCUGUGAAAACAAAGAGACUCUCCAACCCUGGGACAGCAUCCUGUGACACAGUUGCAGCAGCCAUAAAGGAUCCACUCAUCUUGGCCAAAUUGCAGUUCUACGCAGCACUUGCCAGGACCUUCACUCCCUUCUUGAAAAAAUAUCAGACAGAUAAUCCUGUGCUCCCAUUCCUCCCCAAGGAUCUCACCGAGUUGAUGAUGAGUCUACUCAGACGUUUCAUAAAGAGAGAAGUCCUCCACGAUAUCACUGCCCUGCAGCUGACCAAACUGGAUGUUACAGACAAGACCAUCUGGCUCAGCCCACAAGACAUCAGCAUUGGUCUAGGUGCAGAGUCGGUCCUUAAGAGCAUCAAAGGUGCAGAGCUCAGGGUGCUAGAGUUCAAGAGAGAGUGCAUGCAGGGACUGUGUAACAUCAUCAGGAAAGUGCAGGACAAGAGCCCCCUCAAGUAUCUGACUGUUAGGCAGUUGGUGUGCCUGGAUCCGUCAGUAAUGUACAGAGAACCCGAAAGAUGCAGGAAUCACAUGAAAGGGCUGGUUCAGAGGUUUCUUCAGGAUAAACAGCUAACUGAUACUUCUGCAGGGGACGUCAUACUGCAGCAGUUUGACAGUCUCCUGUCCUUGGAGAGCAGGAGUGAGGACUUCCUCUCCUUUCCUCCCAUGCAGAAGAGGCUGGACGUCUUCCUGUGCAGUGCCAUGGAGCCUUAUCCAGAGCUGUGGGCCUUCUGCAAGAAGCUGCUCAUCCUCUCCCACGGCCAAGCUACGGUUGAACGUGGAUUCUCCAUCAAUAAAGAGGUUGAGUCAGAUAACUUGAAGGAGGACACUGUGGUCACACGGAGACUGGUGUGUGA
rnacentral:lncRNA from 1 species